CCUAGCGUCAGUGUCUUAUUGGGAUAGGUAUGUGGUGUGGUUGUCCUAGGUUCUGACUGCCCAUAUGGCGACUAUACACCGGUCAAGGCUAUCUACAUAAAAUAGCUAUUUCUAUAAAGAAUGAUUUGAUUCAACAAGGCCUUAAUUUGCAAUAUUUUAUAUUUAGUGGAAAAACCUGAUUUAGUCUAUUUCAAAGCAUGUUGAUUUAUCAGCAUUUUAAAAUUUGUCCUAUUUCGAAGACGUAACUGGAGGCUAAACCCAUAAAUUUAUACAGCCAUAACAUUAACCUAAUAUUAACAUUCUGCAAUAAUCCCAAUAAUUCUUUCUUCCCACUUUUCUCGUGACUGUUUUUUAAACUCACUGUUAAUGUUCUGUAUUUUGGAACCCUCCCCACCCCUCUAAAU